CCUACGUGGGGCAGCAGUGGGGAAUAUUGCACAAUGGGGGAAACCCUGAUGCAGCGACGCCGCGUGGGUGAAGAAGUAUUUCGGUAUGUAAAGCUCUAUCAGCAGGGAAGAAAAUGUCGGUACCUGAUGAAGAAGCCCCGGCUAACUACGGCCCAGCCGCCGCCGGAAUACGUAGGGGGCGAGCGUGAUCAGUAUGUGCGGGGUGUAACGGGGGUGUAGACGGCAGGACAAGUCUGGAGUGAAAGGCCGGGGCUCAACCCCGGAACGGCUUGGGAAACUGUGCAGCUAGAGUGCAGGAGAGGUAGGUGGAAUUCCUGGUGUAGCGGUGAAAUGCGUAGAUAUCAGGAGGAACACCAGUGGCGAAGGCGGCUUACUGGACUGUAACUGACGUUGAGGCUCGAAAGCGUGGGGAGCAAACAGGAUUAGAUACCCGAGUAGUC
rnacentral:rRNA from 1 species